UGAAAACUGAAUAAAGAAGUCCUGUAUCCUUUUAAUAAUCUUUUUUCUCUAGUAGUUUUCUUAAAUGUUUCUUGUCACAAAAUACAUAGAACUCUCCAUAUACUGCCCAUUUAUGCUUAAAUACUAAGAAGUUUUAAAUGGCUAUACAUAAACCCCACAUCCUUUGUAAGUGGGGAUAGAACAAGGUAAGAAGUAACUGAGAAAUAACCUCAGUUGUGUGGAAGCAUGAACUGGAGCCUAUCACUUGAUCCUCAGAACAAGAUUAACAUCUGCCUUCUAAAGAAAAACCUAAAAACUCUAUUGGCAAGGGAUAUAAAACUAAAAUUAGAAAGGGAAGAAAAAUACUGUAGCCAAGAUGGUAACUACAGAAAGUUUGUUUUUCAAGCCAGGCUUAAGAAGCUAGGCUAUAACUCCUCAAUAAAUGCUGCCAUGAUGUGAAUUAGGUGUCUCUUGACCGACAAUUUAUUUGGGUCUUGAGCCCUUUUAUCUAAGAAGAUCAAUGACCAAGUUCUUCCCAAGCUUGUAUGUUGAGUAUUCAAAAAGAAAACAUAGUCCCACAUCUUCAUCUCUAAUCUAAAGCUGAAUGGGAUGACAACAGUCGAGCUCAUGCCCAAGCUCUCUUGUGUGCUUGGAACUGUGGUAUGGCAGCACCGGCUCAUGUUUUGUUUCUCUCCCAGAGUUUUGCAUUUAUCAGGAUUAAACCUCAACUACUCUUAGGUUGUCAGCUGGCUCUGGUCAUAAAAACCACCUUGUCUUUCAUCUCCGGUACAUCUGAAGAGGUAAACUAUAACUGUUUUCUCAGAUCUGGAUUUCUGGAUUUUUUUUUUCCUGGAUUUUUUUGUUCUGUGUAGAUUGCAAUAACCCACAUGAAAAACUGCUGCUGAAGACCACACACAAAUGCAGAAAAGCUGAAUGGCAACCAUAGCUCCAGGAGCAUCUUCUCAUAGACCUCUAAAAAUGCAUUAGAUUCUUAUCUUCUGUGGUGCCUCAGCAACAGUGGAAGUCAGAAGAGAUGUUUGUGCGAGUAGCUUGAAGACUUAAGCACACUGAAAGUUUUAAGAAAAUAACAUUUAAUGUAAAGCUCUGCUAGAAGUAACAAGCCUGUUAUGUUGAUUUCAGCAUGAUUGAUACAGGAGGGAAUAAAACUGCUUAGUUACUGAGGGAAAAGUCAAGGUAAUUCAUUACAGGUUUUUGGAAGAUUAUACAGAUACAUGUUAUAGCUGCUUGUAUAUCAAGCAUCUGAAUUUGGAGAAAAUCUAGCAGAGUGUAGCAUGCGCAUAAUGUCUCCAGAGAGCAGACUGUGGAUUUACUAUGUGACCUCCAUGCAUUUGGUCAGGGAACAAAGGCUAUGGAUAUAGAUCCAUCCAUGAUUGGAUGUCAUGAACUGGGUUGUUUAUUCUGUCUAAGAGGGGAGCAUUAAUGACAGUCUUCAGUUACAUGAGGAGAAAGAAGUCAUAGCACAGAAGGAAAAAAUACCCUGCUCUGCAUAUCUGUGGCAGAUGGGAUGAGCUAAUCUAAGGUUAUGUUUUAAAUGGUAGAAGCUUUCUAAUAAGUUAGAUUAAUUAUUGCAUGUGACUGUGUUAUGCAACCCUCAUCAUCAGAAACUUUUGAAAACAGGUUGGAAUGGACUGGUACAGGUCUGGCUGGUGUUGCCCUGAAGCCAAGGAAUAAGGCAGGGACAAACCUAUUUUUCCCAUGUGUUUAUGAGCAAUUGGUCUGGUUUGUAAGUCGCAAAAAGCACAAAUUAGGAGGAAUAAAACUAAAUCACAAGUAGUAAUGAAAGCACAUUUUGAAAUUAAAUCAUACAACAAUUAAAACAGUGUAAGAUGUUUCCAAAACAAGUACCCUUGUAUUGGCUCAAUUCCUCCAGCUCCACUAUGUGGAAGUGAAGGCCCAGCAGGACACACAGGGGCAGGCAGCACCUCUCACAGGGACACAGGGCAUCUCGUGGCUCAC